rnacentral:lncRNA from 10 species
AUCCCGCUAGCGAGCCGCGUUCUUACCCUUCCGGGCCCCGCUGCCCCGGCAGCAGACACAGGAGCCUGCGGGCGUGUUGCGGGCGCGCGGGAGGACCUGCGUGAGUCGGGGCACGGGGAGGCGCCGGACUGACGUGUGCACCGUGUGUGCGUGCGCAGGGACACGCGGGUUCUUGCUGGAAACCUCGGCCCCAGUGGCAGCGCUCGGGAAGGGGGAGGAGGCCUUCCGAUUCUCUGAGCUGUGGCCCGGAGGUCCCUGCGCUAAUGGAAGACGCGCGGGGCUCCUGGGCCUCCUGCUUGGCCUCCGCGCUGCUAGAUCCCCCGGGAGUUGAUGUGGCCGGCGCUGGACCCAAGCCUCGCCUGGGUGGACAAAGUGGCCCCCGGCCCCCCAUCAAAGCCCGCGUGGGCCCCAUCCCCCGAGGGCAGUCCCAGGCCCAGCGCGGACACUGGGCGCCUGGGGCGGCGCAGAUACAGAGUAGAGGCGGCGACUGUUGCUCCCGAGCUCCGCGCUCCGGAUACAAUGUGUCUGGCGCCUCCGACCCGCCCGCGCGGCGUCUAGACAAUCUCAGAGAAAACCCCUGUGCGCCGAUUUUGCACUACAGAUUAGCGAUUUUCUCCUGUAGCAAAGCUACUAGCAGCCAAUUUCCAUGCAUUUGAGAGGCAAAAAGACAAAAUAAAACAAAACGUGGAUUGGGUUUUGCGAGGUCCCUGCUGGGUCUCUCGGCGCGAGGAGAUCACGCCGGUUAUGGCCGGCCGGCCGACUGAGGGCACCCCGGGUAACCCCCGCGACCAGCCGGGGCGUGUCCUGCGGGACCCAGUUAGUGUGUGUUGAGUGAACGGUCACCUCGCUGCUAGGCCUAAGCGAGUGGUCUCGUUCACCACUGAGUGUCCCCUGUGUUACGCGCGAGGCCCACUCGAAGCAGGUUUCGAGAAUUAAUUCGUAGAUGGACGAAGAUUCUACACAUCCUUCGCCUUUGAUCAACAAACGUCCUGGAAGGCUUGAGGCGUCUAGGGCCCUGUGGAGGAGGUGCCGGGUUACAGAAUCAGGACACUCCUCACAGCCAGCUGCGACACUAUCUAAAGCAGUGGGCAACUGGGGCUACGGAGGAGGCAAUCAGGACUGGCUGCUGGGAAAAGGCGGCAGAUUAAAAGUGGCGACUGGAGUUGGAAAAGGCCACCUCUCAACUCCGCUUUAAAGAACCAAUCUGGGC